rnacentral:rRNA from 1 species
UUGAACGCUGGCGGCAUGCCUUACACAUGCAAGUCGAACGGCAGCACGGGGGCAACCCUGGUGGCGAGUGGCGAACGGGUGAGUAAUACAUCGGAACGUGUCCUGUAGUGGGGGAUAGCCCGGCGAAAGCCGGAUUAAUACCGCAUACGCUCUACGGAGGAAAGGGGGGGAUCUUAGGACCUCCCGCUACAGGGGCGGCCGAUGGCAGAUUAGCUAGUUGGUGGGGUAAAGGCCUACCAAGGCGACGAUCUGUAGCUGGUCUGAGAGGACGACCAGCCACACUGGGACUGAGACACGGCCCAGACUCCUACGGGAGGCAGCAGUGGGGAAUUUUGGACAAUGGGGGCAACCCUGAUCCAGCAAUGCCGCGUGUGUGAAGAAGGCCUUCGGGUUGUAAAGCACUUUUGUCCGGAAAGAAAACGCCGUGGUUAAUACCCGUGGCGGAUGACGGUACCGGAAGAAUAAGCACCGGCUAACUACGUG